rnacentral:rRNA from 1 species
GACGAACGCUGGCGGCGUGCUUAACACAUGCAAGUCGAACGGAAAGGCCCUGCUUUUGUGGGGUGCUCGAGUGGCGAACGGGUGAGUAACACGUGAGUAACCUGCCCUUGACUUUGGGAUAACUUCAGGAAACUGGGGCUAAUACCGGAUAGGAGCUCCUGCUGCAUGGUGGGGGUUGGAAAGUUUCGGCGGUUGGGGAUGGACUCGCGUCUUAUCAGCUUGUUGGUGGGGUAGUGGCUUACCAAGGCUUUGACGGGUAGCCGGCCUGAGCGGGUGACCGGCCACAUUGGGACUGGGAUACGGCCCAGACUCCUACGGGAGGCAGCAGUGGGGAAUAUUGCACAAUGGGCGGAAGCCUGAUGCAGCAACGCCGCGUGCGGGAUGACGGCCUUCGGGUUGUAAACCGCUUUCGCCUGUGACGAAGCGUGAGUGACGGUAAUGGGUAAAGAAGCACCGGCUAACUACGUG